rnacentral:rRNA from 1 species
AAUUUUGGUCGGCAUAAAAUGACGGGAGGAAAGUAGCUUUGGUCUCGUAUUGAAGUGUUAUAGCCUCUGGUAGAUGUGACGACCGGGAUUGAGGAUUGCAACGGAUACCCUUUUGGGCCACUCGCCUGAUCUCUGAUCGUUACUCUGGUGCCGAAAGCUUGCUUAUGUCAUCAAAGUUGAUGGUCAAAAGGUUAGAACGGGUUAAAUUCGUUAAGGAUGUUGACGUAAUGGCUUUAAACGACCCGUCUUGAAACACGGACCAAGGAGUCUAACAUAUAUGCGAGUGUUCGGGUGAGCAAACCCCUACGCGUAAUGAAAGUAAUUUAGGUGGGAACAUUUUUGUGCACCAUCGACCGAUCAGGAUAAUUUUUGAUAGAUUUGAGUAAGAGCAUAUCUGCUAGGACCCGAAAGAUGGUGAACUAUGCCUGAAUAGGGUGAAGUCAGAGGAAACUCUGAUGGAGGCUCGUAGCGGUUCUGACGUGCAAAUCGAUCGUCAAAUUUGGGUAUAGGGGCGAAAGACUAAUCAAACCAUCUAGUAGCUGGUUCCUGCCGAAGUUUCCCUCAGGAUAGCAGAAACUCGAUAACAGUUUUAUGAGGUAAAGCGAAUGAUUAGAGGCCUUAGGGUUGAAACAGCCUUAACCUAUUCUCAAACUUUAAAUAUGUAAGAAGUUCACAGUUACUUGAUUGAACUUGAACCUUCGAAUGAGAGUUUCUAGUGGGCCAUUUUUGGUAAGCAGAACUGGCGAUGCGGGAUGAACCGAACGUAAGGUUAAGGUGCCAAAAUUUACGCUCAUUUAGAUACCACAAAAGGUGUUGGUUCAUCUAG